ACGGGAAAAUGUGCAUUCACCUUCGGUCUUCGGAACCGAGGGUUACAGGUUCGAAUCCUGUCGGGCGUA
rnacentral:tRNA from 1 species